rnacentral:rRNA from 1 species
UACAGAGGGGGCAAGCGUUGUUCGGAAUUACUGGGCGGAAAGGGCGCGUAGGCGGCCUGUUAAGUCGAACGUGAAAUCCCCGGGCUCAACCCGGGAACUGCGUCCGAUACUGGCAGGCUUGAAUCCGGGAGAGGGAUGCGGAAUUCCAGGUGUAGCGGUGAAAUGCGUAGAUAUCUGGAGGAACACCGGUGGCGAAGGCGGCAUCCUGGACCGGCAUUGACGCUGAGGCGCGAAAGCCAGGGGAGCAAACGGG